CCUACGGGAGGCAGCAGUGGGGAAUUUUGCGCAAUGGGCGAAAGCCUGACGCAGCAACGCCGCGUGGAGGAUGAAGGCCUUCGGGUCGUAAACUCCUGUCAGGGGGGACGAAACGCCCGGCAACGGGCAUUGACUGUACCCUCUGAGGAAGCCACGGCUAACUCCGUGCCAGCAGCCGCGGUAAUACGGAGGUGGCAAGCGUUGUUCGGAAUUACUGGGCGUAAAGGGCGCGUAGGCGGCAAGGCAAGUCAGGUGUGAAAGCCCCGAGCUUAACUCGGGAAUUGCAUCUGAAACUGCUGUGCUUGAGUUCUGGAGGGGGUAGUGGAAUUCCCAGUAUAGCGGUGAAAUGCGUAGAUAUUGGGAGGAACACCUGCGGCGAAGGCGGCUACCUGGACAGAAACUGACGCUGAGGCGCGAAAGCUAGGGGAGCGAACGGGAUUAGAUACCCCGGUAGUCCUAGCCGUAAACGAUGGGCACUUGGUGUUGGGGGUAUUGAGUCCCCCAGUGCCGGAGUUAACACGUUAAGUGCCCCGCCUGGGGAGUACGGUCGCAAGACUGAAACUCAAAGGAAUUGACGG
rnacentral:rRNA from 1 species